rnacentral:piRNA from 1 species
UGGAAAUGACUGUUGGCAACAAUGCCC